UCCCUAAUGGCUCAGUCGGUAAAGAGUCUGCCUGAAGCGCAGGAGAACCAGGCUUGAUCCCUGGUUCAGGAA
rfam:Ovis aries breed Texel chromosome 10, whole genome shotgun sequence.